UCCGUUGCAGUUAGCACCUCUCUCCUUCCGGUGCUGGUGCCCAUAUCAAUAAAUCCAAUAAAUAAGGAUUUCAAAGAUCAAGGUGGUCGAAAAUGUCAAAAGAAAAGAAAGAAAAAAAGGAUACCCAGCUCAUCAUUACACAGCUAAUUAACAUUUUAUCAAAAUUAUCACAGCAAACGUACGCGAACGGGAACUAUACUAUACGGUUCAAGGAAUCAUCAGUAAAAUCGUAAAAUCCAAUCAAGACCCUCAAGGGAAGUUAUUUAUGCCACCCCUUUUUCCUUUGGGAUGAUGUGCCAUCUGUGAUGCAGAGGAGUUUGGUACCAGUAAGUAAUGUGUAUAUGGCUAUAUAACCAGACUACCCGGAAGGAAUAAUAAUCACAAUUCUCCACAAUGCAAUUUUUCAUCAUGCACAAUAACAACAAAAACAAGAUAUCCUGCACCUCACAGGAUGACAUCACAGUCGCAUUCAUGUCGAGAUGGUGGUCACCCUUGUCCUAGACACACAAA